CACAUUUUUUUAGAACGUGUAAAUAAAUAUAUUAAUAAAUAAAAGUAGUUAAAAAUCCAAUGGCUGUAUUAUAAGUUAAAUAGAACCAAACAAAAGUAAUAACUAACUAUAUUAUCGAAAACUCAGCUCAUCAGUAUUCAAUAUUAUAUUCAUACAUAAUUAUGCGUAACCUGAAAUUAAUUGAAUUAUUAAUAAUUUCAUAGAUAUAGAGGAGAGUAACUAAAUGUGGGCUAGUGCAUAUAUGGGCAAGUAACAAUUCUCGAAAACCUACAAUCGAAAGACGCAUUAAACGACGAUCGUGAAAUGUUUCAAAGUACUAAGAACGACAACGCUUAAGCCUGACAACGGAACUUAGUCCUGAAGAAGCGGCUGCGAUGACCUUAGGUAGAAAAACAACGUUGGGGAGACAAUUAGAAAACGUUUUAGUAGAAUAUGUUUUAACAUUGGAAAGCAAAUGUCAUAGAUUACAAGAACUGAUCUUCACAGAAUGGCAUGUUGGCAGCACGUAACAUAACUAUUCAGCAGAUCGUGUCUAUGACGUUAAUGAACCGGUUUAAAAAUAUGAACUUACAACUGUAGAGAUGUUGUGUUGAUCCAAAUGAAUAUUUGAAUGAAUAAUUGGUUCAAACACUUCAUAAAUCAUACACACCCAACACCAGACUUAAGAGUUUUACUGAUAUUAGAUGGACACUUUAGCCGCUUUUAUUUUAUUUUUUUUUAUUUAUGUCAUAGACUUGACUAUGUAGAUAGAAUAAUGUCGAUAUUGUAUCUCUAUCUCUUAUAAGAUAAAUUUUUUAUAAUUGUUAUUUUCGUACAAGAUAUCAUAAGUUUUUAUUUGUAGCCCAUAUUUGAGUACCUGUUUCAUAUUUAGCGUCUAUUUUGAUAUUUUGUUUAUUGCUCAAUUUAAUAAUAUAUUAUAAUAAUAGGAACAUAAUAUUGUUACUUCGGUCUUUAAAAAUGUAUGAUCUUUAAAAAUGUAGGAAAUGUGUGAUUAUUAUGACGUCAAUAAAUCGUUAAUUUUUUAAUAGUUUUUUGUUUUUGAGACAAAAACAAAAUGGUUAUUGCCAUAUUUGGUUACUCUCCUCUAAUACAAUAGGAACACGUACCUAUAAAUUAAUGCAAGAAAGCUAUUAAACGGCAGGAAAUUAGAAAAUGUAGUAAUUUUAAUUAUCAAAUAUAUCUUUCUGUUGUUUUGUUAUAACAAUUUAAAUAUAAUAUACGGGCUUAUGUAUACAACACAUUUUGUAUUGCGCCGUGAGCAAUAAAGUAUCAGUUAUCCUUAAUUUCCUACACACUCCUUGUAGGUAAAACCUUGAUCGCAACAUAUGCAACACCCAAAAUAUCCUUAAUCAAUUACAUUCAAACAACAAAAAAGUGAAAGGAUCCAACUUUCUUAUACGGCACAUCUUCAGAUAAUUUUUUUUUUUUUUUUGUGAAAUUGUAUGUUUUGAUCUUUUAAGAAUUGGUACGCUCUAUUCUUGAAGGUCCCUAAGUCAAAUUUGUUCGGAAAUAAUUCAGUGGGCAGCUGGUUCCACAUACUGAUGGUGCGCUGCAGAAAUUGUCUUAAGAAACGCGUAGUUGUGAAACUACAGACGUCAAGGUGAUACGGAUGGUAUUUUGUAUUCUGCCUUUACGUCCAAUGAUGAAACUCAGCUGCAAGUAUUAUCCGAACAACCCCACUGAACACUCUACCCACCUAUGUGUAAGGUAUACAAGGAGGUGCUACGGUUUCGAUAAAUAAAACUUUACCUCCUUUUGCAUUGUAAAUAAUUAUAAAUACUUCGUAGUUGUCUGGCGGAUAUGCUUACAAAAUGAUUGCAAAGAGAGUGUAUAUUAUUUUAUCGAAACAACAUUUCUUUUAUUAUCUCGUAUCAAGCAUGUCUUUGUGAAAUGGCAUCAAAUAUAAGAUAAGAAAAUUGCUCCCGAUUUAAGCAAAUCCAGUACAAUUAACUUAUUGAUCAGGCGUAUGGCCCAUCACCUCACAUUCUAACGAAAGAUACUGUCCGAGCUGCCCAUACAAAACAGUUUAUGGCGUGGAGUUUAUAUAGUUAAUAUGACAAAUCUGAAACGCUUCUCGAGAGCACCCAGGAAGUGCACAUAUUGUAAUAUGAAAAUUAUAAUCUAAUAAGUGAUAUAAAAUAUACCACCAUUUAAACAUCUAAUAAUUGUUUUAUCCUCAUUGUGAACACACCGUUACUUAUGAAAUUUGUAUAUAAUUCGAGAAUUUCUAUAGUUCAAGCACAUCCAGAAAAAUGUCUUUGAGAAACAAUUUCCUACUUGGUUUUGUGCUUUGUGGGGCUCUUGCCGCAGAAAUAUCAGAGAUCGAUGACCCCGAAGGCCGCGUCGUGGGUGGGACAGAUGCACCAGAAGGGGCUAUACCAACUAUCUCUUCAGCGUUCAGACCAAAAUAACUUCACAUUCUGUGGUGGCGCCAUCAUUCCUAACAGAUGGAUCCUUAUUGCUGCACAUUGCCUACUAUUCAUAUUUAGUUUUAAUUUAGAAAAAUUAUUAAUUAAAAGACUGUAAUGCCUACCAAAGCACAAAACGAAGUAGGAAAUAGUUUCUCAAAGACAUUUUUCUGAAUGUGCUUGAACUAUAGAAAUUCUCGAAUUAUAUACAAAUUUCAUAAGUAACGGUGUGUUUACAAUAAGGAUAAAAUAAUUAUUAGAUGUUUAAAUGGUGGCAUAUCUUUAAUCACUUAUUAAAUCAUAAUUUUCCUAUUACAAUAUGUGUACUUUCUGGGGGCUGCCCCGAAUCGUUUCAGAUUUGUCAUUUUCACUAUAUAAACUCCACGCCAUAAACUGUGUUACAUGGGCAGCUCGGACAGUAAUUAAAAUUCUUAUUUUUUCUAAUUAAUUGUCUUUCUCCAUUAAUUACGUAAAAAGUACGUGUACCUAUUGUAUUAUAUCUAUGAAAUGAUUAAUUAUUCAAUUAAUUUCAGGUUACACUUAAAUAUGUAUGAAUAAAAAUUAGAUAUGCUAUUGUGAUAUAUUGUAACUGAUGAGCUGAGUUUUCGAUAAUAUAGUUAGUUAUUACUUU